rfam:Trichobilharzia regenti genome assembly, scaffold: TRE_scaffold0006185
GUACUGCUGAAGAGUCCCAAACUAGGACGAAACAGAUGUCCAGAAC